AAUUGGUCGGGAGCUGAUGCCGCUCUCCUUAUGAGGCUAUAUCAAGCCGAAACCAAUU
rnacentral:hammerhead_ribozyme from 15 species